AGUGAACGCUGGCGGUAGGCCUAACACAUGCAAGUCGAACGGCAGCACAGUAAGAGCUUGCUCUUACGGGUUGCGAGUGGCGGACGGGUGAGGAAUAUAUCGGAAUCUACUUUUUCGUGGGGGAUAACGUAGGGAAACUUACGCUAAUACCGCAUACGACCUACGGGUGAAAGCAGUGGAUCUUCGGACCUUGCGCGAUUGAAUGAGCCGAUGUCGGAUUAGCUAGUUGGCGGGGUAAAGGCCCACCAAGGCGACGAUCCGUAGCUGGUCUGAGAGGAUGAUCAGUCACACUGGAACUGAGACACGGUCCAGACUCCUACGGGAGGCAGCAGUGGCGAAUAUUGGACAAUGGGCGCAAGCCUGAUCCAGCCAUACCGCGUGGGUGAAGAAGGCCUUCGGGUUGUAAAGCCCUUUUGUUGGGAAAGAAAAGCAGUAGGUUAAUACCCCGCUGUUCUGACGGUACCCAAAGAAUAAGCACCGGCUAACUUCGUG
rnacentral:rRNA from 1 species